GCAGGAUUCAGCAAAUUAUUGUUGCAUAAUCAACUCAUGCAACGGCAGGAUUCAUGACAGUAUAAAUCAAUAAUCACUGCAAGCUACAAUCAAGGAUUAGUCAAUGAAUACUAGGAUCGGUUUCUUGUAUGAUUAUUAUUACUAUAGCUAGAAUCAGGGAUUCGGUUUCAAUUCUUUUCUUUAUAAGCUUUCCAUACUUAGCACUCUGUAUCUUGUAUAUAUAUUACGUUCUGCAGUUGAAUGAAUUAAGCAAAAUUCAAAACUUUUGUCUUCUCCUUUAUGGUAUCAGAGCUUUUCAAACUCUAACGAGUAUCAUUCCUAAACCUUCACCAUGUCUUCUUCCGCAUCCAUUAAUUCAAUCCCUGACCAGAUCAUUACUAUCAAUUCUGCUACUGCCAUCAAUGAAAAACUCACAGCCUCCACCUUUCCACAAUGGAGAGCACAGUUUGAAGCCUUACUUAUUGGCUAUGAUCUCAUGAAUUUUGUUACUGGUGAUCUCCAGUGUCCUGCAAUUGAUACUGAAAACUCUAUUGUCUCCAGAUCUGAAAACUCUCGCUGGAUUCGACAAGAUAAAUUAAUUCUUCAUGCACUGCUAGCCUCAACGUCCACCACCAUCACACCUCUGCUUGCUUCAUGCAAAACCUCCUAUGAAGCAUGGAACAAACUAACACGUUUGUAUGCAGGAAAAUCACGCACCCGUGCAAUGCAGUUGAAGGAGGAUCUCACCCUCAAUCAUCGUGGCAGCAGGACUGUCACUGAAUUUCUCCAGGCGGUUAAACUUACAGCUGAUGAACUUGCCAGGAUUGAUCAUCCUGUUACUGAUGAUGAUCUGACUCUUUAUGUUUUAAAUGGCCUAGGUUCAGACUUUCGGGAAAUUGCUGCACCAAUACGAGCCAGAGAACAUCCCAUUCGGUUUGAGGAACUACAUGAUUUAUUAAUUGGCCAUGAAAGUUAUCUUCGUCGGUUGGAACAACAAACCAUGCAGCCGCUAGUCUCAACAGCAAAUUUUACUCAACGAAGGCAUUUCCCUGCUGGAAAUAGUGGACAACGUUUUUACUCCAAAAGCCGUGACAACACUAAACGCAGCACAUACAAUUCAGGUUUUCGCAGAUAUAAACCUAAGUGUCAGCUAUGUGAUCAGUUGGGUCACACGGCUAAAACAUGUCCCAAAAGCAAUUCCUCUGAUUUUUCUGCAAACUGUGCUGCAUCCUCGAAAAGCAAGGAUUCGAAAUGGCUAGUGGAUUCGGCAGCCUCUCAUAAUAUGACGACUAAUCUUUCAAAUCUGUCUAUUCAUUCUGAAUAUGAUGGCACAGAUGAAGUAGUGCUUGGUGAUGGAUCAGGUUUGCAAGUAUCUCAUACUGGGUCAUUAUCGUUCGUCUCCCCCACCCGUGUUUUUCAUUUGAAAGACACUUUAUGUGUUCCUGAAAUUAAAAAAAAUUUAAUUUCUGUUCAUCACUUUACUAAACAGAAUAAUGUCUAUCUUGAGUUUCAUCCCUCUUAUUUUCUUGUGAAGGAUCGGAUCACGGGGGCGACACUACUAAAAGGUGCAUGUGAGGAUGGUGUGUACCCUUUGCCGGAAACAAUGACUAUGGCUUCCAAACCUGCUAUUGCGUAUGUUCAUGAACGCACAACAACAGAUGGAUGGCACAAACGACUUGGUCAUCCAUCAUCCAAAAUUUCUCAGCAUCUUAUUCGCACUUUUUCCUUACCUGUUAGAAAAACAAAAGAAAGUUCAUCUCUUUGUGUCUCAUGUUCUCACAAUAAAGCCCACCGACAAACAUUUCAAUCUCAUGGUUUUGUUAGCACAGCACCUCUCGAAUACAUUUAUACUGAUGUUUGGGGUCCGGCUCAUGACACUGGUAUUGAUGGUUCAAAAUACUACAUUAUUUUUGUUGACCACUAUACUAAAUAUAUAUGGCUUUAUCCUAUGUCCCAUAAAUCAUGUGUUCACAAUAUCUUUCCUCAAUUUCGAAAUCUUGUGGAAAACAGGUUCAAUACCAAAAUAAAAAGUCUAUAUUCUGACAAUGGAGGUGAAUACAUUGCUCUUAAAAAUUAUUUAUCUGUUCAUGGCAUUGGUCAUUAUACCACUGCUCCUCACACUCCACAGCAAAAUGGAAUAUCUGAAAGACGACAUCGACACCUUGUUGAAACAGGUCUCACUCUUCUCACUGAUGCCCAUAUGCCUCCUUCCUAUUGGCCUUAUGCAUUUCAAGCUGCAACAUACUUGAUCAAUCGUAUGCCAACCUCAACUCUGAAUAACAAAACACCCUUCGAAUUGCUUUUCCAUCAAAAUCCUAAUUACAUGAAAUUAAAGCAGUUUGGGUGUCUCUGUUAUCCCUUGACCAGACCCUAUAAUACACAUAAACUUCAACCUAAAGCCGUGUCAUGUAUUUUCGUGGGUUACUCUUUGACCCAAAAUGCUUAUUUGUGUCUCGAUCUCCUCAGCAGAAAAGUAUAUCACUCCAGACAUGUGCUCUUUGAUGAGACUGUCUUUCCCAUGGCUCCUAAUACUUGUUCUACUGCCAAGUCCCCACCAGCAACCAGUGCUCUCGGUUCUUCUCACCCGGUUGCCAUAAGUUUGCCAUUGUUAUAUCCUGCACGAUCACCAGAAUCAGUUGCUUCUGCAUUGGGUACAGCUGCUCCUUCAUCACUUUUGGUAGCUUCACCUCCGAUGUCAGUUCCUUCACAGGUAUGUUCUCCUACUCCUACUGAAACUUCAUCUGAAAAUAUUGUUAGUCAUGCUCCUGUGGUACUUCCUAUUGCUGAACCUCAUCCUCAUCGUAUGGUUACUCGCUCUAUGAAUAACAUCUAUAAGCCUAAAAGCUUGUUCCUGGUUACCAAACAUCCAUUACCUCCAUCUAUGGAACCUACAUCGGUGACACAGGCCUUAACUGACCCUCAGUGGCGUGCUGCAAUGUCCUCAGAGCUUACAGCUCUUAUGCGCCAUGAUACAUGGCAUCUGGUACCCCCUCCCAAGGGCUGCAACAUCAUUGGAUGUAAGUGGGUGUUUCGGGUAAAAAGGCUUGCUGAUGGCUCAAUUGACAGAUUUAAAGCCAGACUAGUGGCGAAAGGUUUCAAUCAAAGACCCGGUUUGGAUUACACUCAGACUUUUAGUCCAGUAGUAAAACCAGUGACUAUUCGCACUAUUUUAUCAGUUGCUGUGAUGCAUGGCUGGCCUCUCCAUCAGUUAGACGUAAACAAUGCGUUUCUCCAUGGCAAGCUCACAGAAGAAGUAUACAUGUCGCAGCCUCCUGGAUUUCGGGACCCAUCUUCACCAGAUUCUGUUUGCUGUCUUAAGAAGGCAAUUUAUGGCCUUAAACAAGCACCACGUGCUUGGUAUACUGCACUCAAACAAGCUAUUCUAGAAUUUGGUUUUGUCAAUACCAAGUCUGAUUCGUCCUUAUUUGUCUAUAAUGUUGAGUCCACUACUGCUUAUUUUCUGGUGUAUGUUGACGACUUAAUUAUCACUAGCAACAACUCUCAUUUUGCUGCAAGUAUUAUACAACAGCUUGGCAGGAAGUUCUCUCUUAAAGACUUGGGACCCUUGCAUUUCUUCCUUGGCAUUGAAGUUAUUCCCACACAGAAUGGGCUGUUUCUCACUCAGCAAAAUACAUCAGGGACUUCUUGCCAGAACUUGCAUGGAUGGAGCAAAAGAUGUCACCACUCCACUGUCAACUUCGGUCUCUUUGAAAUUAAAUGAUGGCUCAGCUGCUGUAAUCCUACUGAAUAUCGCAAGGUAAUUGGAGCAUUGCAGUAUCUUUCACUCACUCGACCCGACAUCAGCUUUGCAGUCAACAAAUUCACAGUUUGCAUGCCUUCUACAAUUCAUGGACUGCCACCAAGCGGUUGCUGCGUUAUCUGAAGAAUACAAUUUUCCAUGGCAUCUCAAUUCAGAAAAAUGUUACUCCUCUGCUUACAUGUUACUCAGACGCAGAUUGGGCUGGCAAUUUGGAUAAUCGUAGCUCUACUUCAGCCUAUCUUAUUAUGCUCGGUUCAAAUCUCAUCUCUUGGAGUUCCAGAAAACAGCGUGCAAUUGCCCGAUCAUCUACAGAGGCCGAAUAUCGUGCGCUUGCCACCGCUGCUUCUGAGUCUAUGUGGAUUUUAUCACUCUUUACUGAAAUUAAGUUGUCUCUUCCUCAGCCUCCACUGCUCUUAUGUGACAAUCUUGGUGCAACAAAUCUUAGUUUCAAUCCUGUCCAGCACUCACGCAUGAAACAUAUUCAAAUUGACUUACACUUUGUUCGGGAUCUUGUUCAGAAAAACUCUCUUACUGUUCGCCAUGUUCACACGAAUGAUCAACUUGCAGACCUGCUUACCAAACCACUCUCCAAGCAGCGCACAGAUUUUCUCAGGCACAAGAUCGGUCUCACCGAUGGGAGCCCGUUCUUGCGGGGCGUAUCAAGGAAAACAACACUGCCACCUCAUGUAAACCAUUAUUGCAAGAUUCAUGACAGCAAUCAAGGAAGAUUACACUGCCAACUCACGUGAAUUAUUAUUCCAUAAUCAACUCAUGCAACGGCAGGAUUCAGCAAAUUAUUGUUGCAUAAUCAACUCAUGCAACGGCAGGAUUCAUGACAGUAUAAAUCAAUAAUCACUGCAAGCUACAAUCAAGGAUUAGUCAAUGAAUACUAGGAUCGGUUUCUUGUAUGAUUAUUAUUACUAUAGCUAGAAUCAGGGAUUCGGUUUCAAUUCUUUUCUUUAUAAGCUUUCCAUACUUAGCACUCUGUAUCUUGUAUAUAUAUUACGUUC
rnacentral:lncRNA from 1 species